rnacentral:piRNA from 1 species
UCCUGGAGAACUUCAAGAUGAAUGGGA